rnacentral:tRNA from 1 species
CGUCGAAUGCUCGGUCGGUGAUCAUGAGCGGUAACUCGUGAUCGCCGUGGGGCAGGUCGAGGCCGUCCUCGACGUC